CCUGGAGCAGAGGGACAAGAGGAAGCAAGGGCAUGGCAGCGUGGCUGCUGUGCCUUGUGGCCAGUGGUGAGCAAAUCCCCUGGCCAGGUCCCCCUCCAAAGGCCACUGGGGGGCUCCUUUUCUAAUUCUGGCUGGCACGGUCUCCAGCCCACCCAUGGGGCCAGCGGGAGGCCCUGAGUAAUUGACACGGGGCCAGGGCAUAUGCACUGAAGUUCUGAACUCUUUACCCUAAGUCUUCCCUAGACUUUAUUUCCCAAACGCAAGCACCUGGGUCCUUCACCCACUCAUGCCUAUUAGCGGGUGCAGAAGUUUUGGUUGCCUUGGACACAUGAUGCACGGACUGAAACAUGUACUGGAAAAAUGCACAGGUGCUACAAAAUCUUCAGAAAUAACAGACACAGGUUUGCAUGACACUCUUUCACAGGAGGUGGUUCCUCCACCUCAGUUAGCUGCAGGGUUUUGUGAGGUGGAAGAGUGAGACGCAUAGUGUCUUUUUGACAGUCGAGGAAUUGGAGGCCUGGAGGUGAUGCGCGCAGGUUGCAUUGCUAGUGAGCGAAAGAACAAACCCUCCUCUGCAUGCCUUUCAUCUCCUCAGGGUGCUGUGCCUGUAUGCCACAGGAUCUUGGAGUGGUUGACCCACAGGGAGAGGGUGAAUCAGCCAGAAGCCUGCAGUUUUUACCUCCAGUCAUGCUUGACUCAGUCUGUAUAGCUGGAUAUGCUGGAGACCCAGAGUUUGUUUCCUGUUAUAUAGGAAUUCCUCUUGUUUAAUGCUUUCUACAACUGUGACAUUCAACUUUUUUUUUUUUUUUUGAAGAUGGAAGACUUCCCCAUUUGGCCAAAUGAAAAAUCUGGUAUAAAAUCCCAAUAUAUAAUACUUACAUUGAAUGGCUGUGCUUGAAGCAGGUGAUACCUUGCUUGCUCCCCCUCCUCCUGACCCUCAAAGUGGCCUGGGGACCCCUUUGCACACCUGAAGCAGUGAGGAUGGCGCCUUCAGGUCAGAGGGGCUUUGUCCUCUCUCACUCUUUCCUUCCCCCUUCGUGGUGUCCCUGGUCUGCGCCUUAGCUGUCCUCCUCAAAAAUCCCCUAAGACCUCCUGGCAUCCUCCCGCCCUGCAUAUGGCACAUGUGAGUUCAUUAUCCCAACCAAGGCACAGCGAGAAAGGUGGUGGAUGCUAGCCUUUGUGUUACGCAACUCUGCUUUCCUUCUCUUACGGCCAGAUCACAGAGGCCCCAGCUUACGGGCCAUGGACACCCCCAUUCUCAGACCAGCCAAGCCCUUGAACCUAUUCUGAGCCGUCGGCCUCUCCCUGGGCAUCAGCGUCUCCUCAGUCAGUGGCACAAAGCGCCAAACCAUGGCCCAAGGUCCUCCAACGAGAUAGAGAUACGGGCUAUGGGUGCACGAAACUUCUUGCCACCAUCCACGUUUGGAGAGUCUAAGUCCUGAUGAUUAGUACCCAGUGCUGAAUGAUCUAGGCACAGCCUUUCUAUGUAUAAUUUUAACGUUUCCUGAAAGCCUUUAUAGGUCCUGUGGGGGCCAAGAAUCCCAGUAAGUCGCUGUAUUCAGGGGCCUCACCCUCCCUCAACCCACGUGGUUUUCUCUGGAAUUGCGGAGGCGACUCCCCCCUCACUGGCCUCUGGGUGGGUGUGGGGGCUCCCCCGCUCGCCUCGGCGUGGAACGUCUCAGCAAAGCAGUCCUUGGCACAGAGACAGUCUUGCUAACGCUGGUGGCUCUGACGUUCACGCUUUCUCCUCAUGUUCCCACAUCUCUUGAUAGAGGCCAGCAAAUCAGGCCUGCUCUUUCUGCAGCGGGAGCGAGAGCGCUGUCAGGGACAUGAACAGUCCCUUCACCCCCUUCUAACUCUGCACCCCGUCUCCUGCCCCCGUGAAGGAAGGCUUGCCAGUGCGCAGGGUCUUGACUGGGUCUCUUGAGACACAUGGACAAGCCCCUUUCUUAGACCCCAGCCCUCUUAGGAAAUUCUCCCCUAUUUCUCGCUCCCGGAGCUCAUGCUCAAACAGAUGGAGCCAGGCUCUGCCCUGGAGGAGACGGGGCUCCCUUUGGGUCCUCUGUCCUAAGCCUGUGCCGUUUGACCUGGGAAGGCUUGCCCGAGGGUCUCUUGGGCUCUUGCACGCGUCUCUUUAUACAUAGAAUUGUGUUUUGUUCUCCCCGGAGCUGUGGGUUUCUUCUGGGUACCAACUCUGUUGAGAAUUCUAGAGGGACUGGAUGAGAAGUGUGAUUCAGGCGUGAGAAAUCUAUCUCAAACCUAACAUCGCAAAGAGCCUAAGUGGGGUCUGAAAGUCCACCACACCCUCCGGGAAGCAUUCUCUUUGGUGCUGGAUUCUGGAGUUCAGAUGACCUCCAAUUAUUCACUGUUAAUUACUCAACCCCCCAGCUGUCUCUCUGACACUGGACAGCUGCAUGUUCCGCCCCAAGCUCCCCAAGGCUGUGGGUAACCAGCCAUCAGACCCACCUCCCAUUCUUCCUUGUCUCCUCAGCUUAGAGGCCACAGGGACCUACCGAAUGGUCACCUUGCCCAAGUUUGUGAGUAAAAGAAAAAUGUGGAGGCGAAAUGAUCUUGGACCCUCGACCAGUGUAGACAGAUAGUCAAGGUCAUUUGGAACAGGUGUGCAAUCUUCCUUUCCUCGCAGUUGGAAUUUAAGUCCUCCUUCCUUGGAAAAUACCAUGAGCACUCUUGACUCCAGCAGCAGCUACAAUAAGAUAGUGGCAUUGGACUCUCCCUAAGCUAUGCUAAGAUAAGCAGGCGUGGUCAUUGCUGGGCCAAAAGCAUGUGCUCAGAGUGAAUUCACAGGGUAGGAUGACAGGGGAGGGGGUGGUACUUUGAAUCCCUCCAGCCUUUGAUUUCUGAACUGGAUUUGAUUUCCUUUAAAGGAAGCCCAGGUCUCUGCUUAGUCGGGGGCUUUCGCCUGUUGUGAAGUAGAUGCGCUUCCUCCUUCUGAAGUCCUGCAUCCCGCCUGUGUUGCCACCGUCCUCUCCUCUCAUCGGGUUCCCAGGGACAGCUUCCUCUCUCCCACGCCCUCUGUCUGAAGGGGCUCCCAUAUCCAUCAUUUACCCAAAUGACAAGUUGCCUCUGGAGGGACAGCUGCCUCUUGAGUUUGGCUCUAACCGUGGAUUGACUAACCAUGUGCUCCAUUAAAGGAGUUCUGUUUCCUGCGCGUGAACCUCUCCGUUUGAGGACAUGGGGGAUACUUUCUCGGACUCCCCGACAUCACAGAGGCCUGUCAUCUGUUGGGGGAAGGUGUCUCCCUAACACCUCCUCAUGUCAUCCACGAGGAUGACCUGCUGCCCCUCGCUGACCCAUGAUGGCAUCUCCAGGCCCAUCCCGACCUCUGGGACCCCAGAGCGGUCCUGGCCUCUGCAGUCCCUGGGGCUGAGUGUGUCUCACCAGGAAAUCCCUGAUGCCAAUCCCGCAGCAGCUCCUCGUGGAGUCUGGAGUGCCCGCAGGGCUGAAGGAGCAGCCCAGAGGCUCUUGGGUGGGCACUGCCUGAUGGGAAUCCACACCUGUCUUUCCAUCCUUGGGGCUUUGUGGCCACAGUGGCGCCCUUGAGGGGGCCUGCCAGCUGCCUCUGCCCGUGGGAAGCAGCUGCCAGAUCACCAACCAAAUUAAAUUCCCGGAAGACCAGAUUUACAGGCAAGAGGAAAGCAAGUCAGAGCUGAUGAGCUCUGUGUGAGUGGCCCCUCCGGCCACGUCUCUCUGGCCUCAGAUGGAGGCCGAUGCGCGCUGGCUGGGCUGCCACGUGGGUUCUCGCCUUCAGUGGAUGGCUGGUGACGCCCAGGGAGGUAGUGACGCAUUCGGGGACUCAUCCAGAUGAGAGCCUCAGGUACACGGAAGGGCUGGUGGUUACUCUGUGUCUGGCAGUGAGUGUGCAUAUCCGCAACUCCAAUUCUGCCAGCCGCUAAGCGCCGGGCUGCAGCUGGGCUAAUGCAUUGCCUCCGAGGAGCAGCUAUGGAUGGGCUGCAGAGGAAUUAACUUUGACAUAAUGGAAUUUUGUUUUCACCACUGCUCAUAAAAACAACUGCCUUGGGCAGAUGUGACUGUGUGUGGCAGUCUGUGUGUUUCCAGUAAUGACUGUGGAUGGACAGAGGGUUCUCGCUGGAGGAAAUGCCAUCCCCUGAGGACCAGGGCUGGCUGAUGAAUGAUUCAUGAAGAGCAGGGCUACCAAGAAAGAUGCUGGCUGGAGAGAGAUAAGAGAGGAUGAUGGUGCAGGCUGGGAGAGGGGGGGAAGGUGCGUUUUAUUCGUGUGUGUGAUGCCAGCGAGGCUGGCUGGUGCCAAUGGCUUAGAAUCAUCUCAGGGGGCAGCAACCAGAGUCAGUGGCCUUGGAGCGGGAUGAGAAGAGGCCUCCUCAGAAGCUCCCCUCCCCCGCCUCCUCUGGGCGACCUUGACCCUCCCUCUGGGGACACGUGGUGCCCUCCCUCAGCCCUCCACUCCUUUGCCCUGGCUAUGCCCCGCCCCCCCAUUCACUGCUUUUUCUUUUCAGAGAUUGACUCUCUUGACUCUAUUUCCCUGAAACUGCAGCUCCGAUUCUCUGCUAACAGAACCCCUGGGGAGCCCUGCCACUCUGAUCGUGCCCUCUCACCCCUCCCUGGGCCACAGAAUGUCCCCUGGAGAGUCCCACAAGGGCUCCCAGAUGCCAG
rnacentral:lncRNA from 1 species